rnacentral:rRNA from 1 species
UCGAGGAUCUUCGGCAAUGUGCGAAAGCAUGACCGAGCGACGCCGCGUGUGCGACGAAGGCCUUCGGGUUGUAAAGCACUGUCGAGGGGGAGGAAAGCCGAAAGGUCUGACCUAUCCCUGGAGGAAGCACGGGCUAAGUUCGUGCCAGCAGCCGCGGUAAGACGAACCGUGCAAACGUUGUUCGGAAUCACUGGGCUUAAAGGGCGCGUAGGCGGAUCGCAAAGUCAGGGGUGAAAUCCUCCAGCUUAACUGGAGAACUGCCUCUGAUACUGGCGGUCUCGAGUAAGGUAGGGGCGUGCGGAACUGAUGGUGGAGCGGUGAAAUGUGUUGAUAUCAUCAGGAACUCCGGUGGCGAAAGCGGCACGCUGGACCUUCACUGACGCUGAUGCGCGAAAGCCAGGGGAGCAAACGGGAUUAGAUACCCCCGUAGUCC